rnacentral:lncRNA from 1 species
GUCUCUCUUAACUCACUGUCAACUAAGGCUUGCUGUUCCCUGCCAAGCAGUGUGUAAGGGGUGAAGGGAUGGCAGGAAGUCAAGAACUUUGUAGAUCCAGCUGUGGUUCCCACCGGGCCAUGAAGGUCUUGUUCUGGAAGGGAGUCCUGUUGCCAGUUGUCCUUUAUACUCUACAGUCUUUCCUAUUUCAGAUCGCUUUGUAGUUUGUGAUGGACAUGUCCUGCACUAGUCAACAGGAUGCUACAAAGAAGAUUCUACUGUAUUUCCUCAUAAUUUGGUUGUGAGCCAAGCUUUAAAUGGUUGAGCCAUCUCUUCAUCCCUGCUAUAUUUUCUUUAUGUCAGAUCAAUGCCUCUUUUUACAAUUUUAAAAAUUUAACUAAUUUUUAAAAAAUAAAUUAUUUUAUGUGUU